UAUUUGCAGUGAAUUGAUGUGAUUGGCCA
rnacentral:piRNA from 1 species